ACAAAGAAAACUGUUCAAUAUCUAAAAAUGGACUCAAAGGAAAUCUGAAGAAAACUUGGCUCGCUAAAUUAUGGCAGAGUGAAAUCUCACAAUGAUGUCCUCCUGAUUGUUUUGCCUCUGCUUCUCAGAAAUUCAAGUCUCCAAAUUUACGAAAGAAAUAUCUUGGUUGAACUCCAUCCAUCUUUUGGCAGUAGGAAAAGGGAAGUUUUCUGAGAAAGCCAGCUGUUAAAUAUUCUCCAGCACAUCCGUGGGUUCCAGUCAUGCUCAGUUCUUUCCCAGAUGGCUCAUUUUCCAAACCUCUCCCACUCUGGGCCAGAUUGUAAAAUCUUCCUUCACAGAAGCCACAUCUGUUAAGUUUGGCUCCUAGCACUCCAAGUGUAAUGUUAAAUACAG
rnacentral:lncRNA from 1 species